UUGUAUCUGAAAUCAAGCAGGAUCACCCCCUGAACUUAAGCAUAUCACUAAGGGGAGGAAAAGAAAUUAACUAAGAUUGCCUCAGUAACGGCGAGUGAAGUGGCAAAAGCCCAAACUGGAAAUCUCCACGUUUCACGUGGCGAAUUGUAAUCUACAGGAGGGAAACUCACCUGGAAUCGGCGCAGAAGUGUCUUAGAACGGACCGCCAUAGAGGGUGACAGCCCCGUAUGUGGUGCCGGAUCCUAACGAGUUCCUUUCAAAGAGUCGGGUAGCUUUGAAAUGCUGCCCUAAGCUGGGAGAUAGACUUCUUCUAAGGCUAAAUAUUUAUGGGAAACCGAUAGCGAACAAGUACUGUGAAGGAAAGAUGAAAAGAACUUUGAAAAGAGAGUCAAAAGACUUGAAAUCGUUGAGAAGGAAGCGGUAGAAAUUUAUUCUCUGGUAAGAAUGAAGGUGUUCGUCUAACCAUUGGCUAGGGCCAGCACUUUAUAGGCUGCCUGGGCUACUUGGGGAAGCGAUAGCUGGAUUCUUGCCGUGAGGCAAAAUGGGGUCUCAUUUUCCCACAAGCUUGGCUGGCCUGGGCGUUUUCGGACAUCAGCCAGCCUUUGCUCGAGAG
rnacentral:rRNA from 1 species